AUUCCAGCUCCAAUAGCGUAUAUUAAUGUUGUUGCAGUUAAAAAGCUCGUAGUUGGAUUUCUGGUUGGACCGCGAUGCCGGACUCGCAAGGGUUCGUGAUUGUUGUGGUUUCCUUCCAUCCUCAGGUUUGCGCGUGCUGGCCUUAACUGGUCGGUGUGUGUGGUCCUGUCGUUUACUGUGAACAAAUUAGAGUGUUCAAAGCAAGGUGUACUUGAAUACAUUAGCAUGGAAUAAUAAGAUAGGACUUUGGUGGUUCUUUUUGAUAUUUUGUUGGUUUGCACGCCAAAGUAAUGAUUAAUAGGAGCAGUUGGGGGUAUUCGUAUUCAAUUGUCAGAGGUGAAAUUCUUGGAUUUAUAGAAGACGAACUACUGCGAAAGCAUUUACCAAGGAUGUUUUCAUUG
rnacentral:rRNA from 1 species